GUCAGAUGAUGAGACUAGGUUUUCAUAGGCACACUCUAACCAGAGUACACCAUUGUCUGAAAUCUUGGUGGCCACACAGAGACUGUGUGGGCAUCGUAAGGCCGGACAUAGAUCACUGGCAUGGGCCGAUACUUGGGAGGGGUUGGCCCCAUUACUCAGCUCUUGUAUUAGGGGCCAUUUAGAGGCUGUGCCGGACAGAGGCUAGUUUUGGCUGGUCUUUGGGGUGUCCGAGGGUGGGUUUAUAGGGGAAUAUAUGGUGCGUUUGAUGAAAUAUUUAGUAAUCUGAUGACA